rnacentral:misc_RNA from 1 species
GAUUUGCAAAUCUAUAGUGGAGUCUCCGUACACGAAAGCCCGUCGACGCUGACUCAGUCCCGCCUCGGAUCGAACUCCAUUCGUCCGAUUCGACACGGUAGCUCAGCAGAUCAAUCGAUAAUCAUCUGAUUCGAUUCUGGUUCUGACUUAGCUAUGCACACCUUCGACGGAUCCCUAACAUAUGUGGCCGGAAUCCGAUGAUACAGAACGGAAAAACAAAAUCCAACCUGUAACUCCGAGCAGAAUCAGAUAUCAUCGGCUUUCGACAUAACCACGAGGCGGCUUGGCCUGCGCUGGAAAUCACCCCUACGCCUUUGCUGAUGUGAAGAUGGCCGAAUCAACGCCGUCAACGCUCUCUUUACCCACUCACCUUCAACACCACCGAUCCUAACGAGUGAAUUCUUCAUUGCCGAUCGCCUCAUGUUCAGGCGGUUAGGCGUAUACAGUGCGGUACCACUUCCAUGACUGUGAAUACCAGUAUUCUUGUGUAAACUACACCGAAAUGAUCCUGGAUGCGUAGUUGGAGAACACAUGCAAGU